rnacentral:misc_RNA from 1 species
UUAUUUUUUUUUUUUUUUUUGUUAAUAUACUUUUUAGUUAUUGUUGUCCAAUUAUAACAUUUUGUAUUAAUAUAUUCUGACCUUCUAAUUUGACCCACUAUCCUUUUUUGUUGUUUAAUUAUCUGUUCAAAUUUAAAUGGGAGUUUCAGUAUAUGCACAAUGAUAAUCAUUGUCCAUAAUUCAAGAGUUCAUCAUUUAUAACAUAAAAUCACAUAACACAAUAAGAAUAUUUUGUUCUAUUAUAUAGCAUCAUUCUCAUUAGCUAAAUGAUAAUUCUACAUUUAUCAAAAUGUUGUCAUUGUGAUCAUUUUUUUUACUUGUUUUUUAGAACAUAUAUCAUUUUUAAUUAAUUUUGAGAAAUUUUAUCUAAUCUUAUGAUUUGAUUCGAUCAUCGAUUCUCAAUUCACAAAAUGAAAAUUUUGAUUUCCGAUUUGACAACGAUGGUCAAUGUCUUACUCCUCAUCCUCCGUAUUAUUUUGGGCUUGGCAUUUUUUGUACAGUGCAAUCUUGGUGCAACUUGUUGUAGCUUUGGAGUGUCUUUUGAAUAGAUUCCCAAAACCUAAUCUUCUAUUUGCUACUUUCCUAGCUUGAACUUUAUUUUGCCACACUAAUUUGUGACCCUGAGUUUUAUGCUAACAAAUUGAACCAUUCUAUCCUUGAGCAUAUCUGCUCCAUUCAAAAGAUUGAUCCAACCUGUCAACCUAUUGUGGGUGAUCCUUAAUUCAAGCUAUGUUGAUCUUGUUUCUUUGAUCUCCUCACUGGUUUCUCUAUAUAAAUCAUCCCUUAACCUAUGACAUGUAAGGUCUCUAGGAGUAAAAUCAAUUGCAAAAUCACUCUCAUGAAUGUUACUGUGAUCUUCUGGGCUGUAUUUGCUUGCAGUUGCUGUGAUAAUUUGAAUAAGUUGCUUUUUUCUUGUCAUCAUCAAUAGGCUCAUCAUCAAAAGGCCUGCUGUUGUGUGUCUUUGAAGGAAUUUGGAUUGAGAUUAUUUACCAUGGGAAGAUGUAGCUCUGGACUAGGUGCUUGAUGGCCAAAAAAACCUACCAAAAGUUAACCAAGUGACAGCAAACUUGUACCUGACAAGUAAGAAGCUUAGGAUCCUUGCAGUGCUCUCAACAUGACAACAGUAAAACUUUCUAGAUUAAAAGUGGCAAUGACAAUUUUUAUUAAGCUAUUAUGAUAAAUUAAGUCUUUGGAAGCUACUAAACAAUUGAAAAGGCAUACGCAAGAGUAAAUUGGUAAGUGAUUUUAUGUUGAACUAGAAUUUGGAAGUGUAUAAUUUGUGCAGCACUUCCUUGAUUCAUACUUGUAAAAUAAAAAACAAUCAGCAUACCUGUAGAAAAUGCCAAACUUAAUCAUGAUAACUAAGGUGCAUCAUCUGGUAAAUGAGUCUUGGAUUCAGUUUAAGGCCUUCCAGUACUUUUUCUAAGCCAUAGUAAACUUUUUAACCAUUGUUAAUUUUAUUUUAAGAUUAUUAAAUCUUAAAAACAACUCUGACCAGAUGAUGAUAAAGGUCACCAUGAG